rnacentral:rRNA from 1 species
UACGAAGGGGGCUAGCGUUGCUCGGAAUCACUGGACGUAAAGCGCACGUAGGCGGCUUUUUAAGUCAGGGGUGAAAUCCUGGAGCUCAACUCCAGAACUGCCUUUGAUACUGAGAAGCUUGAGUCCGGGAGAGGUGAGUGGAACUGCGAGUGUAGAGGUGAAAUUCGUAGAUAUUCGCAAGAACACCAGUGGCGAAGGCGGCUCACUGGCCCGGUACUGACGCUGAGGUGCGAAAGCGUGGGGAGCAAACAGG